ACCGCAGGUCGGCUCAUUGCUACUCCUGAGUAUUCAGGAAUAGAGGAAAGUCCGGGCAACAUAUAGCAGCUAUCUGGUUAACGGCCAGUUCCCGAUUUAUCGGGAAGGAAAGUGCUACAGAAAAUAACUGUCCGUCAGAUGGCGGGUAAAGGUGAAAACGUGGGGUAAGAGCCCACGACAUAGCGUGGUGACAUGUUGUGUGAGUAAACCCAUAGCGUUGCAAUGUCAAGUAAGCAGGAGUUUGAGGAUAGCUAGUCCGAUCCUGUGGGUAGGCAGCUAGAUCCCACUAGUAAUAGCGGGACGAGAUAAAUAAUGAGCAUCCGCCAGCUGGCGGAUACAGAACCCGGCUUAUAGACCUGCUUUUUUU
rnacentral:RNase_P_RNA from 1 species